AUUGUCUCAACUGCAGCCGCAUCACAGCGUUGAGCGAGAAGCUGAACUCGCUGGAGGCGAAGGUGACGACGUCUGACGUAGGCCUACUCAAAUCCUUCAUCGUAAUCUCAUCUGUACAUAUUUUAUGUCUCAGGUUCAGCUACUCACAGAACCAGCCUCCAUAUCGCAUCGCCACCUUCAGACCAAAGGAGGAACUGCUCCAGAGGCGUCGCUUCUGAUGGGGGCGUCGCCCUCUCAAGGAGCUCCUGGUGAGCAGGGGCCUGCAGGUCCUCAGGGUGAAAACGGGAGAGAUGGGCUUCCUGGCAGAGACGGAAAGCCAGGGACUCGAGGGCUGCCAGGUCCCAGUGGGCCCCCGGGGGAGACUGGGGCGAGGGGUCCAUCUGGAGCUCCUGGAUCGAAGGGACUCGUGGGACCGGCAGGUAAGAGUAGACUAAAGGUAAAAACACACACAGGUCAGUGCUGGCCAACAGCCAUGAGGUUAGAACUGGACUGUGUCCUGCCAGAUGCUCAGCAGCUGUUUACCACUUAUGUUGUCAGUAAGAGUGAGGUGUUUAUAUUGAGUGCUAUUGAGCAAACAGCAGUUGAGGAAUCAGAGCAAUCUGACCUGCGAUGUCCAAAUCCAGAGUGUUUGUCUUUCACUUAA
rnacentral:lncRNA from 1 species